rnacentral:rRNA from 1 species
UACGUAGGUCCCGAGCGUUGUCCGGAUUUAUUGGGCGUAAAGCGAGCGCAGGUGGUUUAAUAAGUCUGAUGUAAAAGGCAGUGGCUCAACCAUUGUGUGCAUUAGAAACUGUUAGACUUGAGUGCAGUAGAGGAGAGUGGAAUUCCAUGUGUAGCGGUGAAAUGCGUAGAUAUAUGGAGGAACACCGGUGGCGAAAGCGGCUCUCUGGACUGUAACUGACACUGAGGCUCGAAAGCGUGGGUAGCAAACAGG